rnacentral:rRNA from 1 species
AGAGUUUGAUCAUGGCUCAGGACGAACGCUGGCGGCGUGCUUAACACAUGCAAGUCGAACGGUGAACCAGAGCUUGCUCUGGGGAUCAGUGGCGAACGGGUGAGUAACACGUGGGCAACCUGCCCCAGACUCUGGGAUAACCUCGGGAAACCGAUGCUAAUACCGGAUACGACCACUUCGGACAUCCGACGGUGGUGGAAAGUUUUCGGUCUGGGAUGGGCCCGCGGCCUAUCAGCUAGUUGGUGGGGUAAUGGCCUACCAAGGCGACGACGGGUAGCCGGCCUGAGAGGGCGACCGGCCACACUGGAACUGAGACACGGUCCAGACUCCUACGGGAGGCAGCAGUGGGGAAUAUUGCACAAUGGGCGAAAGCCUGAUGCAGCGACGCCGCGUGAGGGACGACGGCCUUCGGGUUGUAAACCUCUUUCAGCAGGGACGAAGCGAAAGUGACUGUACCUGCAGAAGAAGCACCGGCUAACUACGUG